UGAGCUUCCCAAAGAGGUUUUUGAUUACUUGUCUUAACUCAUUGCUGCGAGAGGAUAUGGAAAUACCGGGAGUCCGUCCGUCCAGUCUUGUUAGCGCUGUCAUUUGUACAAUCUGCCAGAUUUUUGUGAAACUGAUAUCAUCAUGCAGCAAUGUCUUUCACAUAUGCGAGUAUAAAUCCUGAUCAAAUAUUUUUAACCAAUACAUGCCCCUUGGAAAUAUACUUAUAACGCAAUCUCAUUGUUUUGUUUGGAAGCUUUUUCUCUCGAGAUAUAAAUUUAAAAAAAGAAAAAGUGCUUUGUUUAGUUUUUGCCCUCUUGUACAUAAAAAUGUAUCUUGGAUGCGGGGGACAUUGGAUCUCUGAUCUUUUAUUGAAAACAACAUUAAUAUUUGUACCUAGACGGAAAAGGGUAUUUGUGAAUCCUGGAAUAAAAUAACUUCGUUACAAAUAGAGUCGUCGUCUUUCGUGCCAAAGAAAAAAGUAAAAUCACAAAAAUACUGAACUCCAAGGAAAAUUCAAAAAGGAAAGUCCCCAAUCAAAUGGGGAAAACGAUAUUAAGAUAUGAUGUUUCAGAUUUUUUUAUCCAUCUUGUUUACAUAAAGGAAAAACCACGCAUACGGCUUCGGAAAUGAUUGGAAGCUAUUCUCAUAUUCUCAUAGACAUUCGGAUACCAUCAUGUGUAUAUGCUGUCAACUGUCAUUAUAUAAUUAUUAAAGAAAAAACAUUUUUUUUGUCAAAUUGAUGUGGAUGCUUGAGCAUCUGAGCAUACAUGCAAGCUACGCCACUGUGGAGAGUUGUCUCAUUGGCACUCAUACCACAUCUUUCUAUAUCUAUUGACACAUCUGUGUCAUCUCUGCUAUCGUUCACUAAAGUAUCGUCAUUUGAGCUUUAUGGACCAGCAAAAGGUUGUAAAGGUUGGACUGGUUGGUCCGAAAUAUCUGCUUGAUUAGGAUUCGUUACUAUCAGAGCUCCCUCUGCCUCUACAUUAACCAUACCACCACGCCCACGUGUUCUAGAAGAUUUUUGUGGUAUGACUGUGUUGUUUCCGAAAAAUCUAUGUAUUAAUCAUAAAUAGAAGGAAGGGAAUUGUAUUGAUAUGGAACACGAUGUUGACGUUAUUACUGUAAACGUAGUAAGAUCGCGAUAUGAACGUAGUAUUAUCGUGGUAAGAACGAACUAUAAUUGCAGUAGAAGCGUGGUAAGAUCGUGUUGCAAUCG
rnacentral:lncRNA from 1 species